rnacentral:rRNA from 1 species
CCUACGGGAGGCAGCAGUAAGGAAUAUUGGUCAAUGGACGAAAGUCUGAACCAGCCAUGCCGCGUGAAGGAUUAAGGCCCUCUGGGUUGUAAACUUCUUUUAUCUGGGACGAAAAAAGGGUAUUCUUACUCACUUGACGGUACCAGAGGAAUAAGCACCGGCUAACUCCGUGCCAGCAGCCGCGGUAAUACGGAGGGUGCAAGCGUUAUCCGGAUUUACUGGGUUUAAAGGGUGCGUAGGUGGGCUUGUAAGUCAGUGGUGAAAUCUCCGGGCUUAACCCGGAAACUGCCAUUGAUACUAUAGGUCUUGAAUUAUCUGGAGGUAAGCGGAAUAUGUCAUGUAGCGGUGAAAUGCUUAGAUAUGACAUAGAACACCAAUUGCGAAGGCAGCUUACUACGGAUACAUUGACACUGAGGCACGAAAGCGUGGGGAUCAAACAGGAUUAGAUACCCUGGUAGUCCACGCCCUAAACGAUGGAUACUCGACAUCAGCGAUACACUGUUGGUGUCUGAGNGAAGANAUAGUAUACCACCNGGAGUACGAUCGCAGAUAGAACGACAAGAAGUAGACGGCGUGAGACGUGACCGAACGGACGACGACCGAGGGAGGAGG